rnacentral:sRNA from 1 species
UGCUCCUGUGACGAUGAUGGUUCUAGA